UCAAAGAGUGGCGGACGGGUGAGUAACACGUGGGCAACCUGCCCAACAGAGGGGGAUAACACUUGGAAACAGGUGCUAAUACCGCAUAAUUUGUUUUCCCGCAUGGGAGAAUAAUAAAAGACGCUUCGGUGUCACUGUUGGAUGGGCCCGCGCUGCAUUAGUUAGUUGGUGGGGUAAUGGCCUACCAAGACCGUGAUGCAUAGCCGACCUGAGAGGGUGAUCGGCCACACUGGGACUGAGACACGGCCCAGACUCCUACGGGAGGCAGCAGUAGGGAAUCUUCGGCAAUGGACGAAAGUCUGACCGAGCAACGCCGCGUGAGUGAAGAAGGUUUUCGGAUCGUAAAACUCUGUUGUUAGAGAAGAACAAGUGGGAGAGUAACUGUUCCCACCUUGACGGUAUCUAACCAGAAAGCCACGGCUAACUACGUGCCAGCAGCCGCGGUAAUACGUAGGUGGCAAGCGUUGUCCGGAUUUAUU
rnacentral:rRNA from 1 species